UACAGGGGGGGCAAGCGUUGUUCGGAAUUACUGGGCGUAAAGGGCUCGUAGGCGGCCAACUAAGUCACACGUGAAAUCCCCAGGCUUAACCUGGGAACUGCGUGUGAUACUGGAUGGCUGGAGUGUGGGAGAGGGAUGCGGAAUUCCAGGUGUAGCGGUGAAAUGCGUAGAUAUCUGGAGGAACACCGGUGGCGAAGGCGGCAUCCUGGACCAUUACUGACACUGAAAAGCGAAAGCCAGGGGAGCAAACGGG
rnacentral:rRNA from 1 species